UAGUAAUCCAGCUGUCUGAUAAAACACGU
rnacentral:sRNA from 1 species